CGCACUAAAUUUGGUUUUUAUCAUUUGAUUUUCUCUGUUUAUUUUAGUUCAUUAUCUGAGAUUUGUAUCAUUCUUCCGAUUUGAUAAAUAUAAAACUGUUGUGCUUUACAAUAUUGGCGUUCGAAUUCCAUUUACAUUUAUUAAAUGUUU